rnacentral:rRNA from 1 species
GUGGGGAAUUUUGGACAAUGGGCGCAAGCCUGAUCCAGCAAUGCCACGUGCAGGAAGAAGGCCUUCGGGUUGUAAACUGCUUUUGUACGGAACGAAACGGUCCGGGUUAAUACCCUGGGCUAAUGACGGUACCGUAAGAAUAAGCACCGGCUAACUACGUGCCAGCAGCCGCGGUAAUACGUAGGGUGCAAGCGUUAAUCGGAAUUACUGGGCGUAAAGCGUGCGCAGGCGGUUUUGUAAGACAGGCGUGAAAUCCCCGGGCUCAACCUGGGAAUUGCGCUUGUGACUGCAAGGCUGGAGUGCGGCAGAGGGGGAUGGAAUUCCGCGUGUAGCAGUGAAAUGCGUAGAUAUGCGGAGGAACACCGAUGGCGAAGGCAAUCCCCUGGGCCUGCACUGACGCUCAUGUACGAAAGCGUGGGGAGCAAACAGGAUUAGAUACCCCUGUAGUCC